UCCCCCGUGAGGGGGCAGUCUCGCCAGACACUUGUAACUGGCAACGAGGGUUGCGUUCGUUACCCCACUGAAGGGAACGAUUCAAACCACGAACUGACGACAGCCGUGCAUCACCUGUCCUACACCUUCGAAAGCUUCCUAGGUUUCCCUAGGCGUGCAGUAGGAUUUCUAAUCUUGGUAAGGUUCUUCGUUUAGCGACGAAUUGAGCCACACGCUCCACCGCUUGUGCGAGCUCCCGUCUAUUCCUUUGAGUUUUAGCCUUGCGGCCGUACUACCCAGGCGGAUGACUUAACGCGUUAGCUUCGCCACACAGAGGGUCGAUACUCCGUAUAGCCAGUCAUCAUCGUUUAGGGCGUGGACUAC
rnacentral:misc_RNA from 1 species